GACGAACGCUGGCGGCGUGCUUAACACAUGCAAGUCGAACGGAAAGGCCCUGCUUGCAGGGUGCUCGAGUGGCGAACGGGUGAGUAACACGUGGGUGAUCUGCCCCUUACUUUGGGAUAAGCCUGGGAAACUGGGUCUAAUACUGGAUAGGACCAUGCUGUAGGUGGUGUGGUGGAAAGAUUAGUUUCGGUAAGGGAUGAGCACGCGGCCUAUCAGCUUGUUGGUGGGGUAAUGGCCUACCAAGGCGUCGACGGGUAGCCGGCCUGAGAGGGUGGACGGCCACAUUGGGACUGAGAUACGGCCCAGACUCCUACGGGAGGCAGCAGUGGGGAAUAUUGCACAAUGGGCGCAAGCCUGAUGCAGCGACGCCGCGUGGGGGAUGACGGCCUUCGGGUUGUAAACUCCUUUCAGCCAUGACGAAGCCCUUGUGGUGACGGUAGUGGUAGAAGAAGCACCGGCUAACUACGUG
rnacentral:rRNA from 1 species